UGUAUAUGUAUAUGUGUAUGUAUAUGUAUAUAUGUGUUUGUGUAUUUAUUGUUUGAAACCCAAUUUGUUAAUUUGAGUAGCAAGCAAACAUCACUGUCAUCUGAAAAAAAACAUACUUUUACCAACAGUGCCGUGUGUUAAGCUGCUCAACAAUGCAUGUUGGAAGUAUUCCAUUGGGGUUUUAAAGGUCCUGCACACCCACACUGCUGUUUUAAGUGUUGCUGGCUCAUUACACGUUAGCUCAGGUGAAGGCUCACCCAUCACUGCCUGCCAUCAUGAAUCCAGAUGAAGUCAUAUUUCCUCACCACACGUAGCUUUUACUGGCGCGGGGUUGUUUCCCACUUCACUUUUUCAUUUCCAAACCCGAUCCGUUUUGUGUCACUGUAUGUGAGGGGACGUUAGCUAGCUAGCAAUGGCAAAACACGUGAUGAUGUGUCGUGAUUGGUGUGGUGAUAUUCAAACGCAGCUGGUCAUUGAAAUGAUGCAUUUUAAUUUGACGUUUUAUAUUGAUAUGAAUUCUUGAGCAUGUUUAUAUAUAAAAGUAACUAGCUUUGUAUGCGACCCCCUCAACCCGCAGAAAUCAUGUUUUCAUUUUAAUCCAACCAUUUGGCCCCGCCAGUGGGCCCCGGACCAGUGGUUGAAAAUAGCUUCAGGGCCAAUUCCAGUGUUGUGCAGUGUUACUUUUAGUUUACCUGUAUUAUGCAGAGGUGUGGUUUAGAGUCACAUGACUUGGACUCGAGUCGGACUUGAGUCACAAAGUUGAUGAUUUUGGACUCAACUUUUGGACAAAAGGUUUGCAACUCCACUUUUUUGAGACAGCCCUUAUUUGUUAUUUAUUCGUUUGUUUGAGAAGAGGAUUUACUCGGGGGGGAACUGAACUGAACAAACAUCUAUCUUAACUAAUUUCUAUCUUUUGUUGUUUGUAAUCCGCCACAAGACAAAUCUAUUAAUUUCCUUUAAUUUAGUGAGUCAAUCAAACGUUAUUCCCAGCAAGUCGACAUGUAAUUACUGAGUUCCGCCUUGUUUGAAAUAUUCCGACAGCAAGUCAAUUUCCAGCACUGUAUUUAUUUAUGAUCUAUUUCCAAUGCCCUCCCGCCACCAAACAGUUGGAAGUUUGGUUAUAUCAGGCAAUUAAUAUUAUCAAACGACAUAUUCAAUCAGCGACAGGCUUGAUAAUUGAGUUAAUUAAUGUUUAAGGUAUGAUGGAUUUAAUAGUUUACUCCUCUUGUAUAUAAUACACUUUAUUUAUAGAGCACUUAUCAAAACAAGGUACAAUGUGCCUCUUAUGGAGAGAAUUAAUUGAAUUACUGACUACCAGUAAUCGAGGCAUGAGGAGAUAAAAGCAUGUACAAGAGUAUCUACAUCUCUACAAGUUAAAAUCAUUUUUGCAAUAUUUCUCAGGUGCUUCAAACAUAACUGGACAAGCUCUGUGAAAUGUUGCUCAAAAAAUUCAUGGGACCCAUCACUCCUAGUUCCUGGCCCGCUUCCAUCACAAAAGCUCGAUGAUUCGAAACUUGCAUAAAGCCACAAGAGUUACAACCAAGACAGAAAGGUUGAACAAGAGACAGAAACAAAUGAGCAAGGCCAGAGAAAAGGGGAUUGUUGUGAUUAAAAGACAAUUAUCUGCGCAUCGACUUCCCAGUGUUGUUCAGUGUCAGGCUCGAGCUGAGCUGUUCUGUCCCAGAAGGCCUCGGGAGACAAUGGCUACUGUGUCAGGAGGAGGGAGGGGGUGCGUUAAAAAGUCUUGGGGUUUCAUGACACGGUCACAGCACCAUGCAACUGUUUGAAUACUCUAAAUGCUACGUAUAGGCUUAGUAAUGUGUUUUUAUUUAUGGUAAUCGCAGGAAUGAGUUAAAUGAGUUAAACCUGAGAUAAACCGCAGGUUUAUCGGUUACAAGCAUAUUCCCCAAUUUGAUGUAUGAUUGCUUUAAAACAACCUAACGAGAAUGUGGCGAAGUUGUAAAUAGAACUUUAAAAUAGGCUUUAGGGGGAAACUCACCAGUACAAAAAUCACAAUAUCAUAACUUAGAUAAAGUUAUGGUGAUCUACCGGUUGCAAAGUGGAACUAUUACUGUGGAAAACCCAAAUGGAUGUUUUUAAAAGCAGCUUCAGGGUGACCUUAGUUCACUGUGUGGUUCAAUCGAAGGACAUCAAGGAGGGGUCAGUCGUGGCUUCGAUCACAGAGGCAAGUGGAGAUGUUUGUACACACAACCUCCAGCUUUAUCGUGGAGCCCAGUAAUAUUAGCGCAAAUGGAUCUUCAAGACAAAACAUUUACUUUUAGUCUAUUUAAGUAGAUUUGUACUCAUCUGAAAUAAUAAUUGUGGUUUUCUCAAAGAACAAAGACAAUGAUUUCUUUCUAAAACAAGAAAUCACAUCUCCGAAUGAUAAUUACAGUUACAUAAGCACUAAUGCAGCGUUCAUGUCAUAUCAGAUUUAUGCUUUUCCAACUUGUAAAUACUGUUCACGUCAACAUCUAAGUUAUAAUUAUGACUGGGGAGCUUUCGUUUUCCUGAGACCUCAGAUAUAACUGAUAAUACAAAUGUGCCAAACAACAUGGACGCCUCACAUCAGCUCAAAAUCUGUCAAUCAAUGUAAUUAAAUACAAAUUUAAUGGAUUUAGUGUCGAUACAUCGUAUUUUUAAUCCUCAUGCAACCAAACAACUGUCUUGAAACAAACGAGAAGUGAUGCUCUUUAAUUAGGUGGUGUUUUUCAGUCGGUUAUGUAACUUUUCUGAAGUCAUACUCUGAAAACCAUGUCCACCGGCGGGGGAAAACUAUCAACGUCACAAUAUGCAGCCAGGGGCUGAAACGCUAACAAAAUGCCUGUAGCUAUCUAAACAUGUUAGAUGUCAGCAUGUCAAAGAGUUGUUGUAGCACUCUGUGUCUAUGGGGUGCAGUUGAUAACUAAAAUGAUGAUGGGAUUAGUCAGCUGUUAGCAAGCAACAGUUAACUAUGAGUUAGCAAGCUACUGUACUUAGUUAAAGAACUAGUGUUGGAGCCGCUAAGUACGACUUUGUGUAGAGAACCAUAUUAGAGUAUGUUUUUACUAGCCUCCAGGUUUAUCGAUCGACUUGCAGAGAUACAUUUUCUCAUCAUCUAUAGUAAUGUAUUUUAGAUCUUUAAGGGCGAGCUACACUUUAAAUUGCUGUAUGUGGCUUUAACAAUUAUAAAAGCGAGUUAAGUAUCUGCAAGUUGAUUUUUCUUUGGUAGUGAGAUCGUUGGAAAACACAUGAAAAUAAUACUAACCACUUUGUCAUGCUCUGAAAAGCAGAUUGUGGUCACAGGGGUAAAACAUGCAAAAAACACAUUAUUAUAUUAUUAUUGUUCUUUAGUUUCUCUCGCCUCUGAAGCGUCUUUAGACUCCUUACUACUUUCCCUCAUCAUCUGCAUUGGCCCCUCUCAAACUCACUUCCUGUCUUUUGUUACAAUGACCUCAAAAUGUGGAUGUGCUCUCCAUCAGUCCAAAGAUUAUCAAAUAUGCUCAGUUCCAUCCAGCGUACAGCAACUGGCCGUGUUGGAUAGAAAGGCCACGGAGCUCAAAGCCUCACCCAUAUUUGCUGGGGCGAGCUAGUAACAGUGUGGCCCUUUGUGGCCCCCUGUGUAUUUAUGAAUGGCUGAGCCUCGGGGCGAAGCUUUAGAACAAUGCUGCUACACUGAAGGACCGAUUUUCAUAUGGGAGGGGUGAUGGUGAUGAUGGUGGUGGCAGAGGAGGUGGUGGUGGGACGGGCAGUUUAUUCUCCACCGUUGGGGCUUGGUACAGAGAGUGGCGAGAGGUCUUGCUGGUAACGGGCUGGUGUGACGCUUUGCGUGUGAGUGUCAGAGGGAAGGCUGCUGGAACUGCUCAAACAGGAACUGCUGAACGCUUGGAGGUCGGCCACGGUCACCUACACAGAAUCUGACGUCUAGGAUUCAGAGCAAGAAGACCAACUCAGGGAGAACAAACACAGCGGGAAGACGAAGACUUCGGGACCGAGAGGGAGCAGGAGCCUGGUGCUGAGGCUGGUAUGAG